rnacentral:rRNA from 1 species
AACGAACGCUGGCGGCAGGCCUAACACAUGCGAGUCGAGCGAGGACUUCGGUUCUAGCGGCGGACGGGUGAGUAACGCGUGGGAAUGUGCCCUUCUCUACGGAAUAGCCCUGGGAAACUGGGAGUAAUACCGUAUACGCCCUAUUGGGGAAAGAUUUAUCGGAGAAGGAUCAGCCCGCGUUGGAUUAGGUAGUUGGUGGGGUAAUGGCCUACCAAGCCGACGAUCCAUAGCUGGUUUGAGAGGAUGAUCAGCCACACUGGGACUGAGACACGGCCCAGACUCCUACGGGAGGCAGCAAUGGGGAAUCUUAGACAAUGGGGGCAACCCUGAUCGAGCCAUGCCGCGUGAGUGAUGAAGGCCUUAGGGUUGUAAAGCUCUUUCAGCUGGGAAGAUAAUGACGGUACCAGCAGAAGAAGCCCCGGCUAACUCCGUG